AGUUGUACAUUUUUUAUUUUUUAUUUUUUAAACAAAAGAUGGCCUUUCAUUGAUGAGAUAAGGAUACGCACUUAGAAGUUUGGCAUACCAAACUUGUACCUUUGGUGGUUAAGGAUCACUUGGCAAAAAUAAAACUAUUCAAAGGCCAGUGGAAGUCACUAGCUACGGAUCUAAGGAGGUUCAGAAAUAAGGUUUCCAUCCUUUGUUUUUUUUUAUUUGAAGGUGGGCAAAUUCAUUCUAUACAAAUUUACAAGGCCCUUAACAAGACUAGGAAGAUUAGUUUAACAGUUCAAGACAUGGUAAAUAUCAGUUGAGAGGUUAAUUGAAGCAAGUUUGUCCGGAGGUUGAUUUGCCUCUCUAAGGCAGUGAUUGAUGGUGAAACCAUGCUCUUCAACUAUUUUUUGAAUCUUGUUAACUGAUAAACAUGGGACACUCUUGUGAUGUAUGCUGCCACCGAAUUGAGGACUUUCUUAGUCCACCAUUUUGUAGCAGGUUCUUCAAGUUAAUGUUGGUGUAUUCUAUCCCAAUGGGCAUUGCAUAUAGCCUCCAAAUCUUCUUUGCGUGUUCACCUGCAUAGAAAAUAUGUUCUGCACUUUCCAAAGCGGUAGGAAUAUUAUUGUUAGUGCGAGAUAAUGGGAUACUAAGCCUUGCAAUCUUGGCAUCUGCGGGAAGUCUGUCAAUAAUGGCUCUCCAAGUUAAGAAGGACAUUUUGAAUGGGAUGUUUUUAUGCCACAUUUUGCUAAAAGUUGUGGUGCCAAUACCCUUGUGCCUACAAAUAUUUCAUGCCGAUGUCACAGUGAAAUUGCCCGCACUAGUAGGGGACCAGACAGGUUUAUCUUGUUCUUCGUUGUUCAGAUUCAGCCCUAAUCUUGUAAUCAUGACCUUAAUCUGAUUGGGAGGUUGGUUCUGCAACAUGCUUCAGUUCCCCUUUCCAUUUCCGAGGAUUUCUUUAACCAUGAUAUUAUGGACACUAAAACAAGGAGGGAGAAGUUUGUAUAGGGGUCCAAGUUGGGACCAAUUAUCACACCAAAAAUAUACUUCACCUCUGCCCACGAUCCAUUUGAGUUCAUUUUCUGCUAUCUCCCUAAUGUUACACAUAUGUUUCCCCCAAGUAGAUUGUCCUUUCCUCCAGGUAGCUAGAGCAAGAUGAGUAUUUAGGAAGUAUUUGUGUUUCACAAUAUCAAACCACAAUGAGUUGCUGGUUCCAAGUUUCCACUAUUGCUUGUAUGAGAAAGCAUUGCAUACGUCGCUAAUCCUUCUUAUAUUAAUCCCACCUUCUUCAAAAGGGAGACAGAGGGUUCUCCAAGCAAUCCAAUGAUGUUUACCAACCCUCUUUGCCAGACCAAAAAAAUCUAGCUAAAUAUCUUUCAGUAUUAUCAAGAGUACCUUUGGUGGGUUGUAUUGCAGCAAGCAUAUGGGUGGGGAUGGCUAAUAGUACAUCCUUGAUGAGAACAACUCUUCCCCCAGUCGAAAAAAUAUGUUAUGCCACCCUUUGAUUCUGUUAAUAAUGUUCUUGACUAACUCAUUGAAGUGAAUAGUCUUCUUCUUCCCACUAAUAAGAGGGCACCCAAGAUAUUUUAUGGGAAAUUCCUGAUGAUUCAUACAAGUAAUGAGCUUUAUCUUGGCAAUAAAACUUUGCUUAGCGUUAUUAGCUACACACAAACAACUUUUGUUCUUGUUAAUCAAUUGACCUGAAGUAUUCUCAUAGAUGCGGAGGGUUCUAAGGAACAUCUGAAGAGUUUCUUUACUCCCAUUGCAAAAAAAUAUUGUAUCAUCUGCAAAGGAAAGAUGAUUCACAUGGGGACCAUUCUGGUGCAUAUAAAAGCUUUUGUAACCCCUUUCUUCUUCUAGACAGAUCAUUAAGCAUUUGAGAUAAUAAUUCAGAGGUAAGUACAAAAAGGGAGGGGGAGAGGGGGUCGCCUUGUCUAAGCCCUUUACCUGAUUUGAAGAAGCCUUGUCUAUCUGCAUUGAUAAUAAUAGAAUACCAGUUAUGGGAAAUGUACCUGUAGAUCAAAUCAAUCCAAAUUUCACAAAAACCCAUUUUCCUAAGUACCAUACAUAGAUACGUCCAUGAGACCCUAUCAUAUCCCUUGGUCAUAUCUAAUUUAAUGACCACAUUGCCUCCUCUAUUGGGUUUUUUGAUGUCAUCAAUGAUUUCCUGGGCCAAUAGGAUGUUUUUGGAGAUAGCUUUACCUUUUAUAAAUCCGGAUUGAUUAUUGGAAAUAAUCUUAGGGAGGAUGGGGCUGAGUUUGCUAUUCAAGAUUUUGGAUAUGAUUUUGCUCGUCACAUUGGAUAGGCUGAUUGGUCUGAGGUCUGUGAAGUACUUGGGGGUUUCCAUUUUAGAUAUCAUGACUAGACAUGUGUGAGUGUAGAAUUUGGUGAGCUCAGCACCUCCAAAGAAUGUCUUGAUAGCCAUAUGCAGGUCUCCUUGGAUAACACUCCAAGCACUUUGAAAAAAUCCCCCACUGUACCCAUCUGGACCUGGAGCACUAUCUGGAUCAAUAGAGAAUGUUGCUUCUUGGACCUCCUGGAAUAAGGGGCCAGCAAUAAGCAUUUCAUUGUCUUGCUCAGUGAUUUUGCUUCUCAGUUGAACGGUGGCCUCCAAAUUCUGUCUCUGCUGCUCCGAGGAGAAAGUUUUCUGGAAAUAUUAUACUGUUGCUUUUGAGAUCGCUUCUUUCCCUUCAAUCCAUUGAUGUUGCCCAACCAUGAUUUUGUUGAUAGUAAGUCUUUUCCUUCUAUUCCUCAACACCCCAUGAAAGUAAACAGAGUUAGCAUCUACUUCCUCUAACCAUUUGAUUCUUGUUUUUUGCCUCAAGACAUUCUCUGUACCAUUAAGAAUUUAGUGUAUUCAGCUCUAUCCCUUGAUAAGGCUAUUUUAUUUUCCACAUUGUUGUCGUAGAUACUCUUUUAUUCUAAUAGAACAAUUUCUUGUUCCCAUUUCUUAGGUUCUUCGUAAAUGUCUCUGGAGGCUUCUCUGGACCAAUCACUUAAGGCCUUGGCAGUUCUUUUGAGCUUUUGUUAAAGUAUAUAGAGAGGGUUGUCAAUUACCUCUUCUUCCCAACUCGUAUGUAAUACCUACAAAAAAUCUUGGAAAUUAGUCCAGACAUUAAGGAAUUUAAGUAUUUAAUGUUGUUAGUGUGAUCAUUAGUCCAGACAUUAAGCAAAUGGGCAUGAUCAGAGCAGGCCCUUGAUAGGUGUGUCACGCAGGUGCCUUCAUAGAUAUCAAACCAUUGAGAGUUAUACAACAAUCUAUCCAAUAUUUUCCAUAUAGUGUCUGGAGGGUCCCUUUGGUGACACCAUGUAAAAGUUGGGCCAGAGAAGCUUGCAUCUUGUAAGACACAAUCAUCAAUACAAGAAAUAAAGUCUAAGUUAUUAUUUAAGCUAAAGGGUUGCCCUCCCAAUUUUUUCCUCUAUAUAAGUGAUUGAGUUAAAAUCUCCAACUACACCCCAUGGGGCAUGUAUCAUUGUUGCAGUAUUCUUUAGAUCAUCCCAGAGCUCCAUCCUUUCCUGUUCUGUACACUUAACAUACACAAUUGUUAAGUAAAAGUCACUAGGACUAUUUUGAGAGGAAUUUUACACAAAACCUGUUGUUCUUUGUUCUGCACCAAGUUAACAUGAACUUGGUCAUACCAAAAGAUCAAGAUUUUAUUGUUGAUAUUAUUGUAACAAUAGUUAUAACCAAUCUUUCUCCUAAAAACAUCAAUCUUUUCAGGGCCGACCAUAGGUUUCUGUAGAAUGAUCAUUGGGAGAUUGUAUUUUUGUUUCAUAAAGUUCAGUCUCUCAAGGGAAUCUCAUGGAUCCUUUUCCCCUAAUAUUCCAUGAUACUGUGUUAAAAAUCAUAAACAUUAGAUUUCUAAAUCUUAGUAGGUUACUGAGUUUUGCUUUUUUCUCUGAUUUAAAGAGUUAUCAACAAUCCCUUUGCUUUCGUAUAUCCCUCUUGGGAGAGGUUGUUGUAGAAAGUAACUGCUUGUUGGACUUGUGUUUUAUCAUAAUCCACAAAUUCUAUUGUUUUGUCAUUACCCCUGGCUAUGUCAUCAUCUGAUUUGUUGUCUUCAAUGCUAACUUGUGUCAUUUCCAGGUCUUCAUCCCAGGUGUUGUUUUGAUUCUCUUCUGCCUCAUCUACCAAGCCUAGUAAAUGAAUGCUCACUCUUUUGUUGUGUUUGUAGGAGUUCAGCUUUUUCUCCAUAACCUUGUUCCCAGCAAUUUUAUCUAUGAGGUUUAGGCCCAGAACAAAAUUUGGUUUCACUACUUCUCCAUCCUUUCCCUGCAGUUUGUUUCCUUUGUUUUAGUAGGUUAUUUCCACAUCUUUGGGGAGGGUGACCUUGGUAGUGGGCUUUCUUUUCCUGCUACUUUGUCUGGUAGUGUUCAUGUUCAUAUUUAUUUGAGAUUUUGCUUCCCUCUGUUGUUCCUCCUGGAGUUUGGACAAGUCUUCUAUCUUAACAUUCUUAUUGUUUCUUGUUCCCAUUCUUUCCUUUUGAGCUUUGGCUUUCUGCUGCUUUGCUUUCUUCUUUUUGUUAUUUCUGCUUUUGAUGUGAUCUCUGAUUGUUUUGAUGAUAGUUUGCUCUCCUUCUAUAUGAGGUUCAAUGAUCUACAUACCAUAAUUUCUUCUUUAUGUAUAUGUAAGAUCUUUUCUAUUUGUUGGUGCAUAUGGUUGUCUUAAUUUCAAUGUUUGAAGGCGGUAUUUCCAUGAGAGAAGGCUUGAUGUACAUUGUCAACAUGAAAAAAACAUGCCAGUAAUAGUAAGAAGAUGUCGACACCAUUUGCGGUGCAUUUUAAAUCGAAUGUGGGUGCAAGAACCUAAUAUUUUGGGUGUAAGACCCAUUUUUUGCACUGUGCAUCAACCCCAACAAAAAGCCCGCAGUAUUGGUUGGCCCAGAGGAAGUGACAAUGAAGACGAUAUUCAUUGCGAAUUGAGUAUGUGUGAUUUAGAAAUAGAUUAUCUAGUUAAAUUUCUUCCGCAUACUACUGUGUGGGAAUAAUUUAAUUUAAUCUGUGUUGAAGACGAUGGUGAUUUUAUUGUUUUUUGUAUUUAUUUUGAAAUUAUAUAUGUGGCAACAUAUUAUAUUACAUAUGGUGAAAAUGUUGCCUUCACUUGUUUCGUACUUAUUUUCGAAUUAUGAUAUAACAAGUUAUGGUCGUACACAA